rnacentral:rRNA from 1 species
AACGAACGCUGGCGGCAGGCUUAACACAUGCAAGUCGAGCGCCCCGCAAGGGGAGCGGCAGACGGGUGAGUAACGCGUGGGAACCUGCCUUUUGCUACGGAAUAACUCAGGGAAACUUGUGCUAAUACCGUGUGUGUCCUUCGGGAGAAAGAUUUAUCGGCAAGAGAUGAGCCCGCGUUGGAUUAGCUAGUUGGUGGGGUAAAGGCCUACCAAGGCGACGAUCCAUAGCUGGUCUGAGAGGAUGAUCAGCCACACUGGGACUGAGACACGGCCCAGACUCCUACGGGAGGCAGCAGUGGGGAAUAUUGGACAAUGGGCGCAAGCCUGAUCCAGCCAUGCCGCGUGAGUGAUGACGGUCUUAGGAUCGUAAAGCUCUUUCACCGGUGAAGAUAAUGACGGUAACCGGAGAAGAAGCCCCGGCUAACUUCGUGCCAGCAGCCGCGGUAAAAC